rnacentral:rRNA from 2 species
GGACUACCGGGGUAUCUAAUCCUGUUUGCUCCCCACGCUUUCGUACAUGAGCGUCAGUCUUAUCCCAGGGGGCUGCCUUCGCCAUCGGUGUUCCUCCACAUCUCUACGCAUUUCACUGCUACACGUGGAAUUCCACCCCCCUCUGACAGACUCUAGCUAUGCAGUCACAAAUGCAGUUCCCAGGUUAGGCCCGGGGAUUUCACACCUGUCUUACAUAGCCGCCUGCGUACGCUUUACGCCCAGUAAUUCCGAUUAACGCUUGCACCCUACGUAUUACCGCGGCUGCUGGCAC